rnacentral:sRNA from 1 species
UUUUACAUUAAUUAUGACUGCACAAGUACCAGAUGCUCGAGUAGUGAUGGGUCAUUCAUAUAGAGAAAGUUGGCUAACUUCAUAUAUAUGAUUAUUUUUUUGGCUCCCUGAUCAAUGAAUUAAAUGUUUUUAAAAACAAAAAUACAAAAACAGUUCUCUGUGGAAUGAAGUCAGUGUACAGGGAAUGCAAAUGGCCUCACCUCAAGAUUGACUGUGACUGAUAAGGGUUUGUUGCAGCAGUUCAGGUGGAACCAAGCAGCUCAGGAUUGGGAUCGGUUAUGGUCAAUGCCAGAGGAGGUAUGUGAUGAAUUACUCUGAGUGUGGAAGCAACGCGUAUUGCAAUCCGAUUACAAAUCUCAUAUGCAACUACUUUAAAGGCUUCAAGCCAAAGAACCCAGCCAAAUGGAAUGAGAAAGAUCGUCGGGGUGGUUGUGUUAGGGACACCCGUCUUAACUGAUAAGACAAGUUUCUGAAGCUUUCCAUGUUGAAGCUUCCUAGAAGCAGUUCAACAAUUUCAAUCAAGGGAAUGUGGUUCGACCCUUGCCGAGGCUACUGCUUGAAGAACUGCAAAUGUCAAGCUUUUGCAGUUACCAGUAGGUCCGACAACUUUGAGAAAGUGAAGUUUGUAGUGUGUUCAAAAUUGUCUUCGGUAAGAUUCUUUCCAAAACUGUUGUGGGACAAUUUAUGUAUCUCAAUGCACCACUUCUUGUGAAGAAGGUCCACAUUCAUCUUCUACAAUAUCCACGUCUAUUUGAAAUUGAUGUUGUGUUCAUCACAAUCCCCCAUAUAAUUGAGGAGAUUAUGAGUUGGAUUGAUGAGAUUAAACAGACUUUUAUAAAUCUUCAAGCUCUCAUUUUGUACAUAACUAGGACAACAUCCGCGUUACGUUUCAUGUAUUUUUUUGUUUCUUUUAAAUUUAAUAUCAU